GCACCUGAAAAAUGUAGAUAUUGAAAUUGUAGAAGC
rnacentral:sRNA from 1 species